AUUAUCAAAAUUUUCCGGGUUUCAAGAAAAAAGAUCUUUGACAUCUCGCUUUAUUUCAAGCUGAGAUUCAACUGUUUAAGCUCAAAGGGGUUAACGAAUACUCUCUCUGCUCACGGGUAAGUUGUAUUUGGAACUGGUUGUGCUCAUAAGAAAACAAGCGCCUUGAUCAUUUCUAAUUGCUUCCACAAAUUCACAAUAAUAAAAUACAAAGCAU
rnacentral:lncRNA from 1 species